rnacentral:rRNA from 1 species
UACGUAGGGUGCAAGCGUUGUCCGGAAUUAUUGGGCGUAAAGAGCUCGUAGGCGGUCUGUCGCGUCGAAUGUGAAAAUCCGGGGCUCAACCCCGGACCUGCAUUCGAUACGGGCAGACUAGAGUUCGGUAGGGAGUCGUGGAAUUCCUGGUGUGAGCGGUGGAAAUGACGCAGAUAUCAGGAGGAACACCGGUGGCGAAGGCGGGACUCUGGGCCGAUACUGACGCUGAGGAGCGAAAGCGUGGGGAGCAAACAGG